AGCAUAAAAAAUUCUAUGUUACGGCCAUAGAGGAGAUAAGCAAUUUUAUCUUAUGUUU
rnacentral:tRNA from 3 species